GAAAAUGAGCGAUCAAGUCAGAAUGGAAAAAGAAAGGAUGCAACAUCUGACAGCAACCAAGUCAGAAGUUCCAACUGUCACCUUGGAAGCUGACUACAGGAUGACUUCUACCUCAACCUCGUGGACUGGUCUGCUCUAAUGGUGCUAAGCAAGCUUAGGCACUUGUCUAUCUCUGGAGUGCCUGUUCAUUUCUAUACAAGCCCCCAGAUGUGCAUUGAUUUAUUUUUCAGGUAACUCGUCUGUGUGAUUUAGCAGUGGAGGGAGAUUCUGUUACAUCCGUGGGCUGGUCAGAGGGCAAUCAUGUGGCAGUCGGGCCUCACAAAGGCUACGUAUAGAUCUGGGAUGCAGCAGCUGGCAAAAAGCUUUUUACACUAGAGGGACACACUGCUAGAGUUGAACGCAGACCAGUUGCCAUCAGGCAGUCGAGACCUUAUGAUCCUGCAGAUGAUUCACACAUACCUCUCCAGUCUGAGCACCGGUUGCAGGGUCACCUGCAGAAGGUGUGUGUGGUCUGAAGUGGAGUACAGAGAGCCACGGGAAGUAGUGCUGCAGCACCCACUGAUAAAUCAAAAUAAAUACAAUUAUAAACAUUUAAAAAGGAAUAGACUAAUGAUUGAAUGCCUUGAAUUCAUCACAGGACAUUCAUCAACAUAAUGCAAAAUAAUGAACCAACAUCUUAUCAUAGAGGAUGGAGGAGCAAAGAACUGUGUUUACUUUGUCACUCGGAAACAAUUGAAACUGGACCAUUAACAGAUUUUUUUUUGUUUUUUUGUCAUCAUUUUUUCAAUUAUUGUCCAGUUCAAUUUACAGUUUUGAUUUUUGUAUUCCAUGUCUAUGAUGAAACUAUGUGUUAAAGGAGGGUUAAGAUCUAAACUUUGAGUUGAUGAUGUUACAGUCAGGUCAUAUUAUUUGCCAUUUAAAAAUAUAUAUUUUAUUGUUGUAUGGACUUGGGCAAGAUGCAUAAUAUAAUGGGACAAUGGGACACUCAUGGAAGUCCAGUUUCUUUAAAUUGCUAGUAAACAUGUCAAAGCACUACAUUGAAUAUAGUAUGGCGGAAAAAACGAAACUAAGUAAAAUGUGGGGAAUUAACAGAAAAUGUAUGCAAAUCAAGAAUAAGAGU